CCUACGGGAGGCAGCAGUGAGGAAUAUUGGUCAAUGGGCGUAAGCCUGAACCAGCCAAGUCGCGUGAGGGAUGAAGGUUCUAUGGAUCGUAAACCUCUUUUAUAAGGGAAUAAAGUGCGGGACGUGUCCCGUUUUGUACGUACCUUAUGAAUAAGGAUCGGCUAACUCCGUGCCAGCAGCCGCGGUAAUACGGAGGAUCCGAGCGUUAUCCGGAUUUAUUGGGUUUAAAGGGUGCGUAGGCGGGCUUUUAAGUCAGCGGUGAAAGUCUGUGGCUCAACCAUAGAAUUGCAGUUGAAACUGGGAGGCUUGAGUAUGUUUGAGGCAGGCGGAAUGCGUGGUGUAGCGGUGAAAUGCUUAGAUAUCACGCAGAACCCCGAUUGCGAAGGCAGCCUACCAAGCCAUGACUGACGCUGAUGCACGAAAGCGUGGGGAUCAAACAGGAUUAGAUACCCUUGUAGUC
rnacentral:rRNA from 1 species